rnacentral:lncRNA from 1 species
CCGUCUACUAUCUGGAAUGUCUCAAGCGAGUUGCUUGUUUUCUCUGAAAAAAAAACAUGAAAGUGAAGGAAUGAGAAUUUUACAAUUCUCAGUGAUAUCCAUAUCCACUCUAAAAACUAACAUAAAUUAAAUAGUUAUAUGGAUGAUAAACAUUUCAAAAAUAGAUACUAGUUUCAUCAAUGAAAAUCACACAUUUAAUCCUCUUUAAAACUAAAGAUCAUUCUUUGUUUCAUUGUUAUCACUUUCUUGGCCUUUUCGACCACUUUUGCAUAUUCUCAACUGCGGCUUAGAGCUCUAUCCGAAUGCAAGGGCGUCCCCCUGCCUAGGAACCUGUGUUCCAGGAACUAUGCAACUAGAUCACCUCAACUGCUAGAGGAUCAUUUCGCUUAAAGUGUUUUAAUUAAACAUUUCAUACUUAUGUCUUAGCACCCAGGAUUUGCCUUUUAACUGGAACUGACAUUUGAGUAUCCAGGUUUGCCCUGCAGUGUUGUUCUUAAAUAACAUUCGGGAUUUGCCUAUACUGGUCAUCUUGAGGUCACCAGGUUUGCCCCGCAAUGUUACAUGAUCUCUUAAAUGGUAUCAUAUAAGUUAAACUGAGAUUGUACAAAGUUUAAAAUACUAAAUGAAACUAAAACGACAUAAAAGUUGUCUAUGACGAUUUUCAUUUCAGGUAAAACAACUAAAUAGUAAUAAACUGAACUUUUAAGUAAUCAGAGAGAGGUGGCAGAGCCGACCAUUUCAAGACAUAAAAUGUAAUAACAAAUUAUAUUAUCUAACAAAGUUAAAUAAAAAUCAAUAUCAUAAACAUAAACUUAAUAUUAUAAGAGAAUAAAUAGAUCAAAAGAGUAGUUAUAAAGUAGACAACGUUAAAUAAAAUUGAUGUGGAUAAAAGAGAGUAUGUGUAAUCAUAAAAUUAAAGUUGAAAUACAUAAUUAAAACUGGCUAGACAUACUUAUAAAAUUAUAGAGUAGAUUUAAUUAAAAGAAGUAGAUAUAGUUAUCACCUUACUAAUUUAUCUUGCCCAUUCUUUCAUCUUCCCUCCUCCUAGCAUUUUUUUUUUUUUGACUUUCUGUUCCCUUUAUCUUGCAACCUACAUACUAUCUCUUCCUCUCUCAAAGUGUUAAUGAUCUCUUUCAUUCUUUCUCUGUUUCGCGCUCCCUCUCUUAUUUUCUCUAGCAAAUUCAUUCCUCA